GAAAUAAAUGCAAAUGAGGUUUACUACAAUAUACAUUUCAAAUGAUUUUUCUGAAAGUGACGUUGAACAUGAAUUGAUGUAAGUUUCGACAACAGGUCUGAGGUUAAUUGAAGAUACAUCUGUGAAUUUUGAAAACAGUUUUUAACUACAGAAAGUAUAUCAGCAAACUUAUUUUUGAUUCCUAGCUGCAAUUAAUCAAACGUGUCUUUGACGAAUACGGAACUAUGCUUCUAUUGAAUUAUCGAUGUCUUUUACCUGUGAAAAUGACAGCAAUCUGAAACUGACACCACUAUGAUAUGAAAUCCAUCAUAAUUUACAUCUAAAAGGAAGAGCAGUUAUAAAAACGCUUGAAUAAUUUUCAAAACUUGAUUGUAAGUUGUGCGAUUUGCAAAAUAAGCAAUUAAUUUUACUGCUUUGUUUGAUAAUGAUAACAGUAUCAAACCAACGCAUCUAAAUGUAGGAAAUAUUUAUGGAAAUAAUUAUACCUAAUUAUUUGUUCAAAGAAAACACAGACAUAAAAGUAAUUGUGCAAUUUGUCGUCAUGCAAAGGUGUUUUGAGGACUUAUGAACAUUUAAUGUCGACAGCAAGUUUCAAUUAAUAAUUAUCUUCGAAAACAAAGUGCAGAUUUUUUCAUGCUUCACUUCAGGUGUGGUGCAAUUUGCUGAAAGGUUUCAAAUGUAAUUGAAGAUUUUGUGCAUAUUUUUUAAAUCGGCAAGUGAACAAAAAUCGAUUGCUAUUGAGCAAAAAAAAAUUCAUGGGAACUCAUAUACACAUCAGGAAAGAAAUAAUUACAAAUAUAUGAUUUUUCUGACAUUUAUUCUAGGAAUAAUUAUUACAAAAAGAGAAGGCAUCUUUUAAUUAAAAUCAAUUGUACUGUUUACAAAAGGUGGACUGUUCUUUUCAUGUGCAUUUUCUGAGAAAACCUGAACUGAUCAUUUCAAUCAGCAGUGCUAGAAACAAAUUAAAACGAAAAACAGAGAAAUAAGCCAUAAGCUAAGAUUUCUCAUUAGAUUUUCUACCAUUGAAUAUCAUUUUACGGAAUAAUCAUUUAAUGAAUAGCUAACGGAUAUUGGAUAAUAAGACCGAUCAAUUCCGCUCGGUACAAAUGAGACGGACCUUUAUUUAAUAUGACAUAUUUGUAUAGCAUGAGAAUAAGUUUGUCAUAAAACGUUUGUUUGACAAGGAAUAUCUUGUUCUCUGGUGAUUUCUAUGUAUAUGUAGAUUACGAUAUUAUUAGUUUGCUUGGAAAUCGAUUUGUAAGGACAUCGAAUUGAAGACCACGUAAUUUAGUAUUGUGAUGUUCAACUUUCGACUUCCUCUUUUUAUAAAUUAGAUUAAAUCUCCCCAAUCAACUAUUUCGCCUGAUAAACAAUGACAGUGAUUUUCGGAAUGCAUCGACCCCAAGAAAUCAAAGUUGUAUGAACGUUUUUUAUUACGUUGCUUCAGCACUCAGCACUGAUUGAAGUUUGUGACAAGUAUUUAUUGCCAAUCUAAAGGUACCUUGGCCGAGUGGCGAUUAAUCGUUCUAUAAUAGACUGUAAAUUUAUCUACUUAAUUCGGGAUGAUUUCAUGUGAUUGAUUUGUGUUGUGGGAAUUGUGACAAAAUUCAGAAGAAAUGGCUACUGCCAUCCUUAAGAUAAUUGAAAAGGUAGG
rnacentral:lncRNA from 1 species